UCUUAGCUGCAAACAACAGAAUCCACCUAGUUUAAACAAAAGAGGGAUGUAUUCAAGGAACUAAGCAGUUCACUGAAUUUCUGGGAAGACUAAAGAAUGAAACUUGAUUUAACAAAGCCAUGACACUUUCUGUGGAGACCCUUCUGCUGUCCACUCUAGCAACAAGUGCUGCCACCAGAAUUGCUGCCAUCUUGCCUCUGUAAGCUGGGUAUCUUGACCAACCCCACAUGAAGAAUGGAUUUUACAUGCGCUUACUUGCAAACCAAAGCCUGUCAAAGCUGGAAUCUAUGUGGGGCUUUGGACUCUUCUAAGAAACAGCAUUCACCUAGGAUUAUGAUUCAGGAACACUCCAUGAUCUAAUGGAACUGUCCAAGAGAAAGGAGAUGCCAAAAUGAUUGCCAAAGUUGUUCUCUAAAAAGAAAUUUACUAAAGAGAGAGCAAGCAAAAUUAAAGCACAAUAAGAUUAUAA